UACGAGGGGGGGCAAGUGUUGUUCGGAAUCACUGGGCGUAAAGGGCGCGUAGGCGGCAUGCCAAGCGUGUGGUGAAAGCCCGGGGCUCAACCCCGGGUCGGCCGUGCGGACUGGCGUGCUCGAGCACUGUAGGGGCGGGUGGAAGUUCCGGGUGUAGCGGUGGAAUGCGUAGAGAUCCGGAAGAACACCGGUGGCGAAGGCGGCCGCUGGGCA
rnacentral:rRNA from 1 species